AUGCUAGUUUUGGCAGCACAUCUACUAAAAUUGGAAUGAUACAGAGAAGAUUAGCAUUGCCCCUGCAUAAGGAUGACAUGCAAAUGUGUGAAGUGCUCCAUAUUUUU